ensembl:lncRNA
CUCUUUACUCCGAUCCAAACCCCAAAAGAAACAACUCUCUAAGGUACUUUAUUCCUCAGAAAGCGGCGAAUCGGCGCGCUGGGGAAGGAGAGGGCAGUAGUGUGCUUUGAGGAAGCGAGUGCCCCAGGCGGGAAUUGGCCUGAGAGGAGCGGGAGGAGAUUGUAUAACGGCUUUGGAAGGCUCCCUCCUGCGAAAGCUAAUCAAACCCCCCGUGACUGGAAAAUAACAGCUACAUCAUAGCUCAGGUACACGUGGGAAGAAAAAGUCUUUUCCAGGGAGAGCUACUUCAUUUUGGAAGAAAGAAUAGACUGCGAGAACUACUAGAGCCUGGGCCAUUCAGCACUAUUCCUGAGUUCAUCGAUAGUUAUUGGGGACAACCUUAGGAUGAUGAAAAUAAGCCAAGAAGACACUGAGAGGCUGUGGAAAAAAUACCAAGGAUUGGCUGGUUUGAUCUCCUUGCAGUCCAAAGAAGUCUCAAGAGUCUUCUUCAGCACCACAAUUUGAAAAUAUCAAUUCUCUGACACAGCUUUCUUCGUGGUCUAACCCUUAUAUCUGUACAUGACUACUGUAAAACCAUGGCUUUGAUUAUAUGGACCUUUGUUGGCAAAGUGAUGUCUCUGCUUUUUAAUACACUGUUUGGGUUUGUCAUAGUUUUCCUUCAAAGAAGCAAGCGUCUUUUAAUUUCUUGGCUGCAGUCACUGUCCACAGUGAUUUUGCUGCUAAGUCACUUCAGUCGUGUCUGACUUUGUGCGACCC